rnacentral:rRNA from 1 species
GACGGAAGGUGCAAGCGUUGCUCGGAAUCACUGGGCGUAAAGGGUGCGUAGGCGGCUUGGUAAGUUGGGUGUGAAAUUUCGGAGCUUAACUCCGAAACUGCAUUCGAUACUGGCGUGCUUGAGGACUGGAGAGGAGACUGGAAUUCAUGGUGUAGCAGUGAAAUGCGUAGAGAUCAUGAGGAAGACCAGUGGCGAAGGCGGGUCUCUGGACAGUUCCUGACACUGAGGCACGAAGGUCAGGGGAGCAAACGGG